AUCACGGAUUCGUUAAUGGAAUCAUAAUACUGCCCAAUUCCGGUCAAGCACACGCCAAGCUGGAAUGCGAGUAGGGAGACUGUUGCCUCAGGGCCCGGUCUUGCCUUGGAGUGCCGGAUUCUUCAGCCCCCCAGCCCCCCGGAGUUCAGGGCGGAUCGGGCCCGCUCAGUGCGAGUAUGCGUUCCGCGUACGGUUCAAUCCCAAAUGACUUUC
rnacentral:sRNA from 1 species